AACGAACGCUGGCGGCAUGCCUAACACAUGCAAGUCGAACGAAGGCUUCGGCCUUAUUGGCGCACGGGUGCGUAACGCGUGGGAAUCUGCCCCUCGGUUCGGAAUAACAGUUAGAAAUGACUGCUAAUACCGGAUGAUGACUUCGGUCCAAAGACUUAUCGCCGAGGGAUGAGCCCGCGUAAGAUUAGGUAGUUGGUGGGGUAAAGGCCUACCAAGCCGACGAUCUUUAGCUGGUCUGAGAGGAUGAUCAGCCACACUGGGACUGAGACACGGCCCAGACUCCUACGGGAGGCAGCAGUGGGGAAUAUUGGACAAUGGGCGAAAGCCUGAUCCAGCAAUGCCGCGUGAGUGAUGAAGGCCUUAGGGUUGUAAAGCUCUUUUACCAGGGAUGAUAAUGACAGUACCUGGAGAAUAAGCUCCGGCUAACUCCGUGCCAGCCGCCGCAGUAA
rnacentral:rRNA from 1 species